ACAUGCAAGUCGAGCGGUAACAGGCAUUUUGAUUCAGCUUGCUGAAUCUCGCGCUGACGAGCGGCGGACGGGUGAGUAACGCGUAGGAAUCUACCUAGUAGAAGGGGAUAGCCCGGGGAAACUCGGAUUAAUACCGUAUACGUCCUUAGGGAGAAAGAGGGCUUAGCUUUGAUGCUCUCGCUAUUAGAUGAGCCUGCGUAAGAUUAGCUUGUUGGUGAGGUAAAGGCUCACCAAGGCUACGAUCUUUAGCUGGUCUGAGAGGACGAUCAGCCACAUUGGGACUGAGACACGGCCCAGACUCCUACGGGAGGCAGCAGUGGGGAAUAUUGGACAAUGGGCGCAAGCCUGAUCCAGCCAUACCGCGUGUGUGAAGAAGGCCUUCGGGUUGUAAAGCACUUUAAGUAAGGAAGAAAAGUAUGUUGUUAAUACCAAUGUAC
rnacentral:rRNA from 1 species